rnacentral:hammerhead_ribozyme from 1 species
AUUCAGAUGACGAGUCCCUAAUAAGACGAAACGUGCGUCCUGUAU